GGAAGAGAAGGGAAGAGAAGGGAAGGGAAGGGAAGGGGAGCGGAGCGGGGGCGCAGCCCGAGCCCAGCCCAGCCCCAGCCCAGCCUCCGGCGCAGCCCCGGCAGGUGGUGGCCCCGAUAGCUCCGCCGCGCUAAGCCUCCGCCGCCCGCUCGCCCCCCGCUGCCAUUGCCGGGCGCCGGCUGGGGAGAGCUCGGCGGAGCCAUGGAGCUCUGAGGAGCGGCGGCUGAAGGGGGUGAGGAACGGCGGCGCCGCGGGGAGAGGAGCACAACCCCCCCCAGUCCCCCUCGGGGGGCUGCCGGAGAAGGUUGCCCAUCUGAAGAAAUUGGAUUGAAGAACAAGAGGUUUUUUUGUAACGGGCUGCUCUUUAAUCUCAAUAAUGAAGAAAAGCAGAAGUGUGAUGACAGUAACUGCAGAUGAGAACGCUCUGGAUUACCUGGAGUGUGGGCUGAGUAAGUCCUACAGUACUUCCAGCCAUGCCCUGGGCAUAGACCUCUGGAGAGGCAGAAGAUGUUGUUCUGGAAAUUUGCAGUUACCGCCGCUGUCCCAACGACAGACAGAGAAGGCAAAGACACCUGACAGGGACAUCGUCUGCAGACCAACAACUCUGCCGUUGCUGACACCUCCAAGCAUUGCCAUCACCACCUACCA